AAAGAAAGCGUAAUAGCUCACUGGUCGAGUCGGCCUGCGCGGAAGAUGUAACGGGGCUAAACCAUGCACCGAAGCUGCGGCAGCGACGCUGAUGCGUUGUUGGGUAGGGGAGCGUUCUGUAAGCCUGUGAAGGUGUGCUGUGAGGCAUGCUGGAGGUAUCAGAAGUGCGAAUGCUGACAUAAGUAACGAUAAAGCGGGUGAAAAGCCCGCUCGCCGGA
rnacentral:rRNA from 1 species